rnacentral:rRNA from 1 species
GCCAGCAGCCGCGGUAACACCGGCGGCCCGAGUGGUGAUCGUGAUUAUUGGGUCUAAAGGGUCCGUAGCCGGUUUGGUCAGUCCUCCGGGAAAUCUGAUAGCUCAACUAUUAGGCUUUCGGGGGAUACUGCCAGACUUGGAACCGGGAGAGGUAAGAGGUACUACAGGGGUAGGAGUGAAAUCUUGUAAUCCCUGUGGGACCACCUGUGGCGAAGGCGUCUUACCAGAACGGGUUCGACGGUGAGGGACGAAAGCUGGGGGCACGAACCGGAUUAGAUACCCGGGUAGUCCCAGCCGUAAACGAUGCUCGCUAGGUGUCAGGCAUGGCGCGACCGUGUCUGGUGCCGCAGGGAAGCCGUGAAGCGAGCCACCUGGGAAGUACGGCCGCAAGGCUGAAACUUAAAGGAAUCGGCGGGGGAGCACAACAACGGGUGGAGCCCUGCGGUUUAAUUGGACUCAACGCCGGACAACUCACCGGGGGCGACAGCAAUAUGUAGGCCAAGCUGAAGACUUUGCCUGAAUCGCUGAGAGGAGGUGCAUGG